rnacentral:rRNA from 1 species
AGUGAACGCUGGCGGCGUGCCUAAUACAUGCGAGUCGAACGGAGAUUAAGUAGCUUGCUAUUUAAUCUUAGUGGCGCACGGGUGAGUAAUAUAUAGCUAACUUGCCCAUUACUAAGGGACAACAGUUGGAAACGACUGCUAAUACCUUAUACUCCGUAUCUAUAUAAGUAGAUACGGGAAAGUUUUUCGGUAAUGGAUAGGGCUAUAUCGUAUCAGCUAGUUGGUAAGGUAAUGGCUUACCAAGGCUAUGACGCGUAACUGGUCUGAGAGGAUGAUCAGUCACCCUGGAACUGAGACACGGUCCAGACUCCUACGGGAGGCAGCAGUAGGGAAUAUUGCUCAAUGGGGGAAACCCUGAAGCAGCAACGCCGCGUGGAGGAUGACACUUUUCGGAGCGUAAACUCCUUUUCUUGGGAAAGAAUUAUGACGGUACCCAAGGAAUAAGCACCGGCUAACUCCGUG